rnacentral:tRNA from 1 species
GGGAGUAGAAGUCUGUCUGGUGUGGACCCCGGACUUCAAAUCCGGUGGAACGUGGUGACCCCGCGUUUGGUGGGUUCGAUUCCCACCUACUCCCGCCA